AAAUUUCAAAAAAUCUUGUAUAAAUAUUUGUUUUUUUAUUUUUCUUUCCUAACUUUCAAAAAUUUACAUUUUACCCUCUCAACAUUUUUAUUUUUCUUUCCUAUAUUUUAGCCUAAAAUUUAUACUAUUUAAUUAAAUAUCUUAUAUUAUAUAAAAAUAUAAAUAUAUAUUAAUUAUUAUUAUAUAUGUUUUAUUAUAUUAUUCUUUAUUUUAUUUGCCACAAAAAAAAACU
rnacentral:lncRNA from 1 species